rnacentral:rRNA from 1 species
GAUCAUGGCUCAGAUUGAACGCUGGCGGCAGGCUUAACACAUGCAAGUCGAACGGUAACAUAAAGAAGCUUGCUUCUUUGAUGACGAGUGGCGGACGGGUGAGUAAUGCUUGGGAAUCUAGCUUAUGGAGGGGGAUAACUACGGGAAACUGUAGCUAAUACCGCGUAAUAUCGAGAGAUUAAAGUGUGGGACCUUGGGCCACAUGCCAUAGGAUGAGCCCAAGUGGGAUUAGGUAGUUGUGGGG